UACGUAGGGGGCAAGCGUUGUCCGGAAUCAUUGGGCGUAAAGAGCGUGUAGGCGGUCCGGUAAGUCGGCUGUGAAAGUCCAGGGCUCAACCCUGGGAUGCCGGUCGAUACGGGCAUCACUGGAGUUCGGCAGGGGAGACUGGAAUUCCUGGUGUAGCGGUGAAAUGCGCAGAUAUCAGGAGGAACACCGGUGGCGAAGGCGGGUCUCUGGGCCGAUACUGACGCUGAGGAGCGAAAGCGUGGGGAGCGAACAGG
rnacentral:rRNA from 1 species